UACGUAGGGGGCUAGCGUUGUCCGGAAUCAUUGGGCGUAAAGCGCGUGUAGGCGGUCCGGUAAGUCCGCUGUGAAAGUCGGGGGCUCAACCCUCGGAUGCCGGUGGAUACUGUCGGGCUUGAGUACGGAAGAGGAGAGUGGAAUUCCUGGUGUAGCGGUGAAAUGCGCAGAUAUCAGGAAGAACGCCAAUGGCGAAGGCAGCUCUCUGGGCCUUACCUGACGCUGAGGAGCGAAAGCGUGGGGAGCGAACAGG
rnacentral:rRNA from 1 species